GGGGGUAUAACUCAGUUGGUAGAGUGCAUGCUGAGCAUGCACGAGGUACUUGGUUCAAUUCCCAGUACCUCCA
rfam:Camelus ferus unplaced genomic scaffold scaffold2300, whole genome shotgun sequence.